rnacentral:lncRNA from 1 species
AUGGGGAUGGGACUAAACUUAGGGGGUCUGCCGUGUCCCAGGGACUGUGCUCAUUUUCUGACAGGAGCAAUAUUAUUACCGACUGUGACAGCAGCUCCCACUAAGCCUGCACCUUAGCUGCAGAUCCUUAGCAGGGCAGAGAGACAAGGCUGUAUUUGUAUCAGGAAGAUGAGAGACUGCUUAGGCGCCACCACUAGUACCAUGAGUCCCUGCACUGGUUAAAGCCAUCGCCACAACCUGGACAGGCAGCAAGGUAAGCAGAGAGGCCAGUCCAGGCGAGCUCCUGGGAUGUGAGUGCAUUUCCGCCCCAACUGCUGCCCGGAAAAAUCCCAAGUGCACAAACAAGUCAAGGCAGCGCAUCAGGGUCCCUCCUACCCGAGCUCCAGGACCCAGAGGAAGCUGGGUCCCCUUCAAGCGCUUCAGCUAGCUCCCUCCCCCCUGGCAGGGAUUCUUCCAAGUUAUAAAAAAUGAGACACUGGAGGGGAAGAAAACAAGUCCACUCACUGUCUUCUCCCUUCUCCCCUCUGAGCUGUUCAAGCAAGUUCCCAGGAGCAGUUCAGAGCCCCUGUUGGACUGGAAGGGAGGUAGGAGGAGUGGAAUGCAUGCAAAAACCGAGCUGAUCAAAAGACAGUGCUGUUUCAUGGAAGCCUCCCAGAACUGAGAGAGAGAGAGAGAGAGAGAGAGAGAGAGAGACAGUGAGAAAGAAAGAAAAAGAGAGCGCCCUUGUGCACGCGCUAGGCCAAGAGCGCGCCGCUGUGCGCGCGCCCGCCUAGCGAGGACAGGGUCUCCAUGACAACCGGCCUGGCCGGCUAGCAGUGCUCUGCUCACUUGGCUGCGAGGAGCGCCACGAAAGGUCAGAGGAAGGAGCUGUGGGAAGCUCGCAGCAGGUAUCGGAGCUUAAGCCAGUGGAUUUGGGGGCCCUGGGCUCCCUAGCCGGCUGCGGUGUGAGAAUGGAGUGGGCAGGAAAGCAGCGGGACUUUCAGGUAAGGGCAGCUCCGGGCUGGGAUCAUUUGGCCUCCUUUCCUGGCCCUUCUCUCCGGCUGUUUUCUGGGAGUCAGGCGAGUGUCUGUAGUCUCUGCUCGGGGUUUGGGGCUCAGGAAUGAUGUCAUGCUCCAACAGUUGGAUUCUAUUAGCUUAAGGAGGAGGGAAACAGCCAAUUUUCUUGACUUUGCAAAUCUAGCUGAUCUCACUCUUGCUGAAUCUGAGGUGUUUAGACUUCACUCUAAAAAGCAUCAUUUUACUUUUAUUUAGCACAAAGGCACAGGAUAUUUUUACAGGAAGAAUCUUUUAUAUGGAAAAAUCUGAGUUAACAUCACUCCCGUGGUGUUUGUAGUUCUUACAGGGAAACUCCAGUGCCUUUUGAGCCGCUUGUUCGUCCUAGUGAACACUGUCUGUUUUGUCUCUUGGUGCUGCUAUGUCUGACCUGUAAUGGAAAAAAAAAAAAAAAAAAGGCUAAUUAAGCUCAGCCAGGAGCCUGUGGUGAGUUCCAAGUCCCUCUAGAGCAUUUAUUAGGACAGAGGGACUGUCACAGGGAUGCCUGAGCUGGGGUUUUGCACUCUCUCUCUUCCAGGCAGCUUGGUAAGAAUCAAGCUGUCCUCCCACAUCAAAAGGUCGAUCACAGACUUUCCUAAGAGGUGGAGGAGGGGGCUGGCUUGGGGUUGGGGGGCCUGCAAACAGGUUUCUCAUCCAGAUGUCCCAGAGUGAGCUCUCAGCAGCAGCUGCUAAGAGCUGGGGAACAUGAGGCACUGUAGUUGUGCCGGGUGGAUUCCUUUGGUUACAUUUUGACCAAAUCUCAGGGCACGCAGUGUCCACGCUGUGCACUCCUACACUGAUUGUCCUAAGUUUUGGUAAAACUUGUUCUGACCUAGAGGAGUGGUACAUGGUGAGCUGUGUGGCCUUGGAAAGGAGACCCUCCCAGAAAGGCAGUUUUAUAGGUGAUAGGGUAGUGGGGUUGUCAGUAAUAUUAUGAGGAGGAUGAAUGCAGCAAACACUUCCUGCAACGGAGACCCAUCAGGGGUUGUGCUUCCACUUGAGCCAUGUUAUGUCUUAAAUUCACUUCUUGGCCUCAGGGAACUUUGCAAAUGCCUUUGGUUUCUCUGUGGGAUGAGGGAACAGCUGCUGUCCUGGUUCUUCAGUUUUUCUUCUUGAACUUUCUGAACAGAAUGUCUUUUGUAUUCUGGCAAACAAUGAGGGGGCAUUCUGAUUAACUUCGGAUCAGCUUGCCAAUGCAAGCACUGGCCAUGUCCCCAGUUCCGGCUCCCUAAAAUGAGUACAUGUAUACAUCGUGGUUGUGGCCUGAGGGUCCACAAGGGUGAACUCCAUGGCCCUGGACCUCAGACGGUCCACUUCUGAAGUUAUUCCUCUUGCUACAUACACUCCAGGGAUCCUUUGCUUAGUUGAAACCUACAUUUUGCUGGAGGGAUGUGGCAUAACACUGAGCCAGUGGCCCCUUCAGUUGGCAGUGUAAAUCCAGAACCUCAGCCUUCUUUUCUACUUGUGUGUGUAGUUGGAGCUCUUCAAUUUUACCAUCCCCACAUCUGUGAAGAGGGCUAGCAGAGACCCAGUUUCAGGAGCUGCUGCUCCUUCUGUUGGUAUAGCAGAAAGAAUAAUGGAUUUGGGUUGCUAGACUUGAGUCGACGGCUAGAUUCUGUUCCCAUAGGGCGGCCACGGGCAAGUAUCUUAACUAAUAGGAGCUUCAGAUUCUUACCUGUGAGAUGGAGGUAAUAAGAACAACUUCACAGGACUGUUGGGAGGAGCCAGUGGGAUAACUUCCAUGAAAGUAGUUUGAAACAAGUCACGUCCUAUCUAACGAACCGUGUUGUGAAUUGAAGCUUGAGGAAUGACCCAACUCUCUCUGGAAAGUCACUUUGCCUCUCUGUUCUGGUUCUCUCAUUUUAUAAAGUGCCUUCUUCCUUUCUGCAUUUAUAAGUAAACAUGAGAAAAAUCUGAAAAGACUUCUUCAGGAUGUUUAAGGAAACAAAUGUUGCUUUCCUUGGGUUGGGUCGUUUCAUAAGAGUGAUGUUUGCCAUAAAACUGGAGCCUCAUAGACGAUCCUGCAGGGAGGAAGCUUUCCUUGGUCACCUGACUCAUGUGUUUAUAUAUAGUAUAGAGGAGAGGUAUUCCAAAAGACCCGUCGCUUUUCCUGUGUCCCACAGCUGCCUGUAGAGUUGUGGCACCAUAAACUUUAGCAGCUGGAAAAGAGGCCAGGCCUGGUUCCCUCAUCCUGCUGGGUCCUGCUGGGCACACUCUGCAGUGGGCAAAGGGGUCUUUCUCCUUCAUUCUGGGUUUAGAAGGCAGGGUUCUAACUGGGAGAAAGUGUUAUUGCUCCGAAAGGCUUCUUGGGGGCUGGGCAGGUCUUUCAGGAACUCAUAAGGCCACAGCUUAUGGGGAAAGAAAAAGAAACAAGGAAGUGGGAAUUCCAAGGGCAGAGAUUCUUGAUAUGCCAUGGGACUGUGCCAAGGAAUGGAAGAGCAGGGGAAGGGAGACUCCAGGCAAGGAGAGUCCCAGGUCUGUCCUCAUUGAGUCGAAAGGGCGUAUGGCAUACUAGAGCGCGUCACCCACAGCCCCAGCUUUACUGUAGGAUGGGGAAGACCUGCCAGCCAUAUCCCGGAGUGGUGUCUGGGAAGAAGCCCUUGAGCAGACCCAUAGUAGGCAGAUUAAAAAAAUGAAACAAA